CAGAGGAGCAAGCACAGGGAGCUGAUGACGGACCCAUUAAUCCCUUCUUCAAUGCAUCAAAAGACGCCGAAGGGCUGGAAGUCGCUGGGCUCGGAGUCCUGCAGGAAAUGCUUCGAUCUGCUUUUGGUUUUGUAUGAAACUGGUGACUAGGGGCUCGGCUCGCCCCGCCGCCGCCCGCCGGCACCUGGAUGCGCGGGCCACUGCCGCCGCCGCCAGCGCCGUGCCCGCCGCCGAGAUGCAACCCUGAUGGUGGUGCUGGUGAUAGCUCGGGCGUGAUGGGAUUGAGCCCGGCGGUGAUUAUUUGAAGGAGGUGAGGGAGAGCGAGCGAGAGGAAGGGUUGCUUCGCUCUGCUGUGUGUGGGCUUCGGGAUUUUCUUUUCUUCUUCUUUUCCUUCUUCCGUCCUCUCCCCGCCACUGGAAGUCCUCCCGUAUCUAAAUGGAAUUAGUGGAGACCGAAGCCCCUUGUGUAAGGAACAGACAUGACCCAUGGGCGCAGCUUCUUUCACAUUGUAGCAAGUCUAAUCAUCCUACAUUUGUCUGGGGCAACGAAAAAAGGAUCAGAAAAACAAACUACUUCCGAAGGACAGAAACCAGUGCAGUGUGGAACUUGGACAAAAUAUGCAGAAGGAGGCAUCUUCACUUCUCCCAAUUACCCCAACAAGUAUCCUCCUGACAGAGAGUGCAUCUACAUUAUAGAAGCUGCUGCUAGACAAUGCAUUGAACUACACUUUGAUGAAAAAUAUUCUAUAGAGCCUUCUUGGGAGUGUAAAUUUGAUCAUAUUGAAGUAAGAGAUGGACCUUUUGGCUUUUCUCCAAUCAUUGGACGUUUCUGUGGACAGCAAAAUCCACCUAUGAUAAAAUCCAGUGGCAGAUUCCUAUGGAUUAAGUUUUUUGCUGAUGGUGAGCUGGAAUCUAUCGGUUUUUCUGCUCGGUAUAAUUUUACACCUGAUCCGGAUUUUAAGGACCUUGGUGUUUUGAAACCAUUACCAGUUUGUGAGUUUGAGAUGGGAGGACCUGAAGGAAUUGUGGAAUCUGUGCAAAUUGUCAAAGAAGGAAAAGCUUCUGAAACUGAAGCGGUAGACUGUAAAUGGUAUAUCCGAGCACCACCCCGAUCCAAGAUCUAUUUGCGGUUCUUGGAUUAUGAGAUGCAGAAUUCUAAUGAAUGCAAAAGGAAUUUUGUAGCUGUCUAUGAUGGAAGCAGCUCUGUGGAGGAUUUGAAAGCAAAGUUUUGCAGCACUGUUGCUAAUGAUGUAAUGCUACGGACAGGUCUUGGUGUAAUCCGUAUGUGGGCAGAUGAAGGCAGUCGAAACAGCCGAUUCCAGAUGCUCUUCACAUCUUUCCAAGAACCCCCUUGUGAAGCCAACACAUUCUUUUGCCACAGUAAUAUGUGUAUUAAUAACACAUUGGUCUGCAAUGGACUUCAGAAUUGUGUGUAUCCUUGGGAUGAAAACCACUGCAAAGAAAAAAGAAAAGCUAACUUAUUGGAUCAACUUACAAAUACCAGUGGGACUAUAAUUGGGGUGACUUCUUGCAUUGUGAUCAUCCUCAUUGUUGUCUCUGUUAUAGUACAAAUCAAGCAGCCUCGUAAAAAAUUUGUCCAAAGGAAAACAGACUUUGAUCAAACAGUGUUCCAGGAGGUGUUUGAGCCUCCUCAUUAUGAAUUAUGCACCCUCAGAGGGACAGGGCCUACAGCUGACCUUGCUGAUGUUGCAGAUGACUUUGAAAAUUAUCAUAAACUGCGAAGAUCAUCUUCAAAAUGCAUUCAUGACCAUCACUGUGGAUCACAAGUGUCUAGCAUUAAGGGCAGCCGUAGUAACCUCAGCACAAGAGAUGCUUCUGUCUUGACAGAAAUACAACCCCAGCCUGUAAAACCACUCAUUCAGCCCAUGAAUAGGAGAAAUAUCCUUGUCAUGAAGCAUAGCUACUCACAAGAUGCUGCAGAUGCGUGUGAGAUAGAUGAAAUUGAAGAAGUACCAACCACAAGUCACAGGCUGUCCAGACAUGAUAAAGCUGUUCAGCGGUUCUGCCUCAUUGGGUCUCUAAGCAAACAUGAGUCUGAGUACAACACAACUAGGGUCUAAGAGACAAACUUGAGACAACUGUUCAUGCAGUCAUGCAAACUCUGGAUGGAAAAAUCUAUGUAUAUAGACUGCUUGAGAAUAGUGCGCUCCUGGGUGAUUUUGAACAUGCUACAAUGAAAUGUGAAACUAUCGUCCUUGGAAACACCAGCUAGAGGUUUUAUGGACUCUCUUACCAGCUAUUCUCAUAUCAUGCAAAAUUCAGCUAACAGUAUUGAGUAAAAUCACUAGAAGGCAAUAAGACUUCAGUUAUUAUCUCUAUAGAUCAUUCCUCUUUUUCUUUUUUGCUCUUAUUUUUGUUGCAAGUUAAAUUCCCAAUUUCAGGAACAAUUUACUGAAAUCAGGUAUUUAGCCAUUCAUGAUCACUUUCAAUAGACAUGUUUGUUGGGUAAGCAUCUAGCAAUAUGACUGAAUUUGACAUUGAGAAAAUAAUCUGCAUGUAUGUUACUGAGUAUUUGAGUUGGCAAAUAUCCCUUUAUUAGACACAUUGUAAAAAGCAUGCAUUCACAAUUAUUGCUGUUACUGUUCCAUUUCUGUGUCAUAUGCUUG